rnacentral:tRNA from 1 species
GCCUGGCUGGCUCAGUCAGUGGAGCACGUGACUCUUGAUCUUGACAUUGUGAGUUCGAACCCCACGUUGGGGG